rnacentral:lncRNA from 1 species
UUUGUAAAUAUUCCCCCACAGAGCUUCCUUUUGUACAAAUCCCCACAGAUUACCUCCAAUAAAAUCCCCGUCGAGAAUCUCCAAGCAAAACGGGACACAAAAAAAAAGAGGCCUUACGAGGCAAAUCAUCGCAGAAUCUGGAAAUACAAGCCUGAGCAGUCUAAAGGGUUUCGCCAUUCGAAUCAAAUCAAUGGCGGGACUUCACAACAGAAAUAAAGAUGCAACAAAGCAACUGGGAACGAUCAAGGUCACCGAACCGACUGUCAUUUCCGAACUAACAAUUGUUCUUUGUCUGAAAAGUUGAAACAGGUAUAAUCCAAGACAACCGUGCAAGAAGCAGGUGUCGCCCAAAGAAGAAGGUACACGGGUACAAGAAAUACUUUGGCAAUGAUGAAUUCACUCGAAAGGUAAGUUUCCACGAAACUCCCUUUUAUCUUCUACUAAAACAAGAAAAUUCAAAAAAAAAGAAGGUCGUUUAGUAUUCUCGAACUUUGUCCCCAGCCAGCCAGCAUUAGGGUUUUAAACCCUAAACUGAGCUUUUCCAUGCAAUCAGCAUUAGGGUUUUAAACCCUAAACUGAUCUUUUUCAUUUUAGUCAGCAUUAGGGUUUUAAACCCUAAACUGAACUUUUUCCAUUUAGCCAGCAUUAGGGUAUUAAACCUUAAACUGAGCUUUUCCUUCCAGUCAGCAUUAGGGUUUUAAACCCUAAACUGAGCUUCUUCCUUUAGUCAGCAUUAGGGUUUUAAACCCUAAACUGAAUUUUUUCUAUUCAGCCAGCAUUAGGGUUUUAAACCCUAAACUGAGCUUUUUCAUGCAGUCAGCAUUAGGGUUUUAAACCAUAAACUGAUUUUUCCUUUUUAGUCAGUAUUAGGGUUUUAAACCCUAAACUGAACUUUUUCCAUUCAGCCAGCAUUAGGGUUUUAAACCCUAAACUGAGCUUUUCCAUGUAAUCAGCAUUAGGGUUUUAAACCCUAAACUGAAUUUUCCUUUUAGUCAGCAUUAGGGUUUUAAACCCUAAACUGAAUUUUUUUCAUUCAGCCAGCAUUAGGGUUUUAAACCCUAAACUGAGCUUUUCCAUGCAAUCAGCAUUAGGGUUUUAAACCCUAAACUAAUUUUUUUCCUUUUAGUCAGCAUUAGGGUUUUAAACCCUAAACUGAACUUUUUCC